GUAGGGGAUGCCGAAAACCUCAAAGAGUAGGCA
rnacentral:ncRNA from 1 species